ensembl:lncRNA
ACCCCUUGUCAUGAAGAGGAGCAUCUGGACAUACUGUUUUUGGCUGGUCACGCUGGGAAAUUGUUGAUUGUGAACAAGCCCAUGCCACUGUCAGUUUGGGGAGAGGAAGGGGCACCACCUAUCCAUCACCUGACUGCAAAAAAUAUUUGUAUUCUUAAAGUACUGUAAGCCUCACUGUUGUUUCUUUUAUCUGUGGCAAGGUAUGUUUUCUUUCUCCUGUAACUUCUUUUUAACAGCAGAAUUAAUUGUGAUUUAUUCUGUGUCAGUCUAUCUAGAUUCUGUGGUUUCCUUUCUUACAGGUUCCACAACCGCUCCUCCAUGUGAAUCAGAUAUUGCAUGCAAACUUGGAUGGCAUGUAAAUCAGAUAUUAACAGGUGGGUAUGCCGUGUGUGAAACAGAUGUUCAGUAGACUCUGCAUAGCUGCAACUGUCCUGAUAAAUGUUCAUUGGGCUUCUCUCUAGGUGCGAGGCCAAUUGGCAUGGAGCAGGCCACAUGCAUACUGUCUGACUCUUUAAACUUUGGAAAAGAGUAACAACACACAUACUACCUACUGGGAAUGAUCACUCUCAUGUUAACUUCCAGGCACUUGGUGGUAGAGUGCUAGCUGAGCAGGCCAGAGACGGAAUCACAGGUGUGCAAAAUUAAAGGGAUUGGAAAGGACCUCUGGAGAUCAUCUUGUCCAACCCCCUGCUAAAGAACGUUCCCUACAGUAAGUUACACAGGAAAGCAUCCAGGCAGGUUUUGAGUGUCUCCAGAGAAGGAGACUCCACAACCUUUCUGGGCAGCCUGUUCCAGUGCUCUGUCACCCUCAAAGUAAGAAGUUCUUUCUCAUGUUCAGAUUGAAGUUCUUGUGUUCCAAUUUGUGCCCCUGCCCCUUGUUCUGGCACUGGGCACCACCAGAAAGAGCCUGGCCACAUCCACUUGACACCCACCCUUUUGAUAUUUAUAAGUAUCGAUAGGACUCCCUCUCAGUCUCUGCCAGGCUGAGCAGUCCCACAUAUCUCAGCUUUCCUCAUGAGAGAGAUGCUCCAGUUCCCUCAUUGUCUUUGAGGUCCUCCACUAGACUCCCUCUAUAAGUUGCCUUUCUUGGACUGGGGAGCCCAGAAUUGGAGACAAUACUCCAGAUGUGGCCUGACCAGGGCAGAGCAGAGGGGGUGAAACUCCCUUGACCUCCUGGGCAUGCUUUCAUUAAUGCACUCCAGUCUACUCUUCUUUAUGUAAUGCAGUCUCACCUUAAAAUGUAGCCUUAACAAACUUUUUUAGAAAUUUGUUCUUAUAACCAAUAUCUUUGAAAUGCAAAAUGAAAUGGAAGAGGAGAAGGCCAUUAAAGAGGAAACCUCAUAAUCUUGUAAUCCUUGGCAUUUUAAAAAGGAAAAACGGAAUAUAGCGGAAUUUGAGUUCUGGUGUUUUCAUUAUUAUUAUUAUUUCAGGAGGUCUUUAACGUGAAAUGUAGCAUGAACAAGCAUGGUAUCCAUGAGCUGUGUGACGUGAGUGAGAUAUCUUAUGUAACUACAGUUUCAGAAGUUUGUCAGUGUCUGGAGGAAGGAUUUUUCAUGGAAUGCAGAUGAUAAUUAGUGAUCUGCGGUCUAAGUGUGUGCUGAAGUUACAAUUCAAAAGGCUUAUUAGGAGAGUGAGUAUACUGUCAGAUACAGUGUGAUAGCAUGAGGGUCUCUGAACAUGCUAAUACUCGGAGUAUUCAGAGGAUCCCUUCUUUGGAUGGGAGAAGCAUACUUUCAGUCAUUCAUGCAGAGACUUGACCCCAGCCAGUAGUAGUACUUUUGCUGGAAACUAUGACAAAAGGCAAAAAGGAGUCUCAGCCACACAGAGCUCAAAUAUCAGUCUCUUUGCUGCUUUAUCAGGCUGUUGUGGAUGAGCAGUACAGUGUUGUUCCUUUGAAAGAUUUGCUGUUGAUGAUGCUUUAACAGGGACAGCAAAAGAGCUGUCUCAAUCCUAAACAGUCUCGCAUGGCUUAUUGUGUCUUUAUAGAUAUGCAAAAAGCAAGGAUGCAAGCAGAUACAUUUUAAGGGUAGAAAGAUGCAGAAUUCUUUAAAACUACAUGGUAGCAUAGCAAAGGAUUCUGAGAAAAUGCAACUGUUUUGUGGAUCACUUCCUACUCAAGAUAUUUGAAGAUCUGAUGAAUUAUCAAAGGAAAUGAAAAACAGAAAAGCACAAGACCCUCAUCCCUGUUAAAUCUUACUACUCUUCCUCCAGGUGGAUUUUCAGCUGCUCUGCAGAACUAGCUGAAAUAUUGCUGAUUUCAUGAGUGACACAAUGCUGUUUUCACAUACAUUGGCAAUGCUGACAAAUCACCUUGACUCCAUCACUGAAUGCUGCAAGCAUUGCAUUGGGGUGGUACUGUGGUGUAUCUCCAUCCUCAAGUUCAGAGCAGCCAUUGUGGGUCUGUUUAGCUCAAAUUGAAUGUUUCUUGCAAUAACAAGAAGGUUUGAUUUGGAUUUUAAAGAACACUGUUAAAAAUGUAAAAAUAAAGAGACCAUAAAUUUAGGUCUCA